CUACGGGUGGCUGCAGUGAGGAAUUUUGCGCAAUGGGGGAAACCCUGACGCAGCAACGCCGCGUGAGUGAAGAAGGCCUUUGGGUCGUAAAGCUCUGUCAACUGGGAAGAAGUUAACCAUAAUUAAUAGUUGUGGUUAUUGACGGUACCAGUGGAGGAAGCGCCGGCUAACUCCGUGCCAGCAGCCGCGGUAACACGGGGGGCGCAAGCGUUAUUCGGAAUUAUUGGGCGUAAAGGGCGCGCAGGCGGUCUUGUCAGUCAGGUGUGAAAGCCCGGGGCUCAACCCUGGAAGUGCACUUGAAACAGCAAGACUUGAGUACGGGAGAGGAGAGAGGAAUUCCUGGUGUAGAGGUGAAAUUCGUAGAUAUCAGGAGGAACACCGAUGGCGAAGGCAUCUCUCUGGACCGAUACUGACGCUGAGGCGCGAAGGCGUGGGUAGCGAACGGGAUUAGAUACCCGGGUAGUC
rnacentral:rRNA from 1 species